GAGUUUGAUCCUGGCUCAGGACGAACGCUGGCGGCGCGCCUAACACAUGCAAGUCGAACGAGCGAGAGAGAGCUUGCUUUCUCGAGCGAGUGGCGAACGGGUGAGUAACGCGUGAGGAACCUGCCUCAAAGAGGGGGACAACAGUUGGAAACGACUGCUAAUACCGCAUAAGCCCACAGCUCGGCAUCGAGCAGAGGGGAAAGGAGCAAUCCGCUUUGAGAUGGCCUCGCGUCCGAUUAGCUAGUUGGUGAGGUAAUGGCCCACCAAGGCGACGAUCGGUAGCCGGACUGAGAGGUUGAACGGCCACACUGGGACUGAGACACGGCCCAGACUCCUACGGGAGGCAGCAGUGGGGAAUAUUGCACAAUGGGGGAAACCCUGAUGCAGCGACGCCGCGUGGAGGAAGAAGGUCUUCGGAUUGUAAACUCCUGUUGUUGAGGAAGAUAAUGACGGUACUCAACAAGGAAGUGACGGCUAACUACGUGCCAGCAGCCGCGGUAAAACGUAGGUCACAAGCGUUGUCCGGAAUUACUGGGUGUAAAGGGAGCACAGGCGGGAAGACAAGUUGGAAGUGAAAUCUAUGGGCUCAACCCAUAAACUGCUUUCAAAACUGUUUUUCUUGAGUAGUGCAGAGGUAGGCGGAAUUCCCGGUGUAGCGGUGGAAUGCGUAGAUAUCGGGAGGAACACCAGUGGCGAAGGCGGCCUACUGGGCACCAACUGACGCUGAGGCUCGAAAGUGUGGGUAGCAAACAGGAUUAGAUACCCUGGUAGUCCACACCGUAAACGAUGAUUACUAGGUGUUGGAGGAUUGACCCCUUCAGUGCCGCAGUUAACACAAUAAGUAAUCCACCUGGGGAGUACGACCGCAAGGUUGAAACUCAAAGGAAUUGACGGGGGCCCGCACAAGCAGUGGAGUAUGUGGUUUAAUUCGACGCAACGCGAAGAACCUUACCAAGUCUUGACAUCCUGCGACGCACAUAGAGAUAUGUGUUUCCUUCGGGACGCAGAGACAGGUGGUGCAUGGUUGUCGUCAGCUCGUGUCGUGAGAUGUUGGGUUAAGUCCCGCAACGAGCGCAACCCUUACUGUCAGUUACUACGCAAGAGGACUCUGGCAGGACUGCCGUUGACAAAACGGAGGAAGGUGGGGGUGACGUCAAAUCAUCAUGCCCUUUAUGACUUGGGCUACACACGUACUACAAUGGCGUUAAACAAAGAGAAGCAAGACCGCGAGGUGGAGCAAAACUCAGAAACAACGUCCCAGUUCGGACUGCAGGCUGCAACUCGCCUGCACGAAGUCGGAAUUGCUAGUAAUCGUGGAUCAGCAUGCCACGGUGAAUACGUUCCCGGGCCUUGUACACACCGCCCGUC
rnacentral:rRNA from 1 species